GCUGGGCGCGGUGGCUCACACCUGUAAUCCCAGAGGCUCAGGGGGCUGGGGCAGGAGGAUCAUGGGUUCAAAGCCAGCCUCAGCAACAGCGAGGUGCUCAGCAGCUCAGUGAGACCCUGCCUCUC
rnacentral:sRNA from 1 species